AGCCGGCAAUGUCUAGUCUUGUGGCCAACUUUGGGAGAAGAACAAAAUAAUGCGAAUUGAAAGCCCACUGGCACUGUAAUAAUAAAAGAAAAUCGAGAGGGAAGUGCGCUGCGAGCCGGCAACCCUUAACCCCUAAAACCCAAAGCUUUGUUCAGCAGCGAUGACUCCCAAAAACAGCGCAUAGACUCCGACGCUUCUUCCUUCAUCACUCCAUGUUUCCUCUUUAGGGGCCACAAUGAAAGCCUUAAGAUCACUGAGAAUACUCAGGACUCUCUCUUCCACCCCGCACAACAAUCUCUGUCCCCUUGAGCGUUCCUUUCUGCGCAGGUUUUACUCUGCUGAACCAGAGCAAGAGGAAGUGACGCAGCCGACAACCUACCAGGGGUCGGAAAAUGAUUCAGAUUCAGUUUUUGAUAGUUCUCAUUACGAGGUUCCUAAUAUUUCAGACACCAGUGCUCGCGCCCAUCGGCAACAACAACCCAUCUGGGACCGAAAGUACAGGGCCAGAGCUGAUGAAAUGAUCUUUGGAAAGGAAAUCCCUCAAGGCAAUUUGAGAUUCAGAGAAGAGGAGGAGGAGGAGGAGGAGGAGGAGAACAGGCGGAGAGUGUUGGCCAAGGCUUUGCUUGAGGCGUCACUGGAGAAAGGGGAUAGCGAGGAUGAGGAUGAACAUGUGGCGAAGGAGGAGGACCAGAAAUCACUGGCCGUUGGAAUAAUCGGUGCUCCCAAUGCUGGGAAGUCUGCACUGACUAAUUAUAUGGCUGGUACAAAGGUAGCAGCUGUUUCACGGAAGACAAACACCACAACUCAUGAAGUGGUAGGAGUGAUGACGAAAGGAGACACCCAAAUUUGUUUUUUUGACACACCAGGGCUUACGUUAACUUCCAAAGGAUAUCCUCAUCACGAUCUCAAGAGCCGUGUUGAAAGUGCUUGGAGUUCGGUCAAUCUCUAUGAAGUGCUUCUUGUUGUUUUCGAUGUCCAUAGACAUCUUACCAGACCUGAUGCAAGAGUCAUACAAUUAAUUAAGCGUAUGGGAGCUCGAGUCCAUCCCAAUCAGAAGCGAGUUUUAUGUAUGAACAAGAUUGAUUUAGUAAAGAAAAAGAAAGACUUGAUGAAGGUUUCAGAAGAAUUCAAACAUCUCCCUGGAUAUGAAAGGUUUUUCAUGAUAUCAGGACUGAAGGGGUAUGGGCUAAAAGAUCUGUCACAGUACUUGAUGGAGCAGGCAUUUCAACGACCAUGGGAAGAAGAUCCAUUUAUGAUGAGUGAAGAAGUUAUGAAGAUGAUAGCCAUGGAAGUUGUGCGUGAAAGGUUGUUGGACCAUGUACAUCAGGAAAUUCCGUAUGAAAUUGAACAUCGGUUGAUUGAGUGGAAGGAAUUACGAGAUGGUUCUCUUAGAGUUGAGCAACAUUUCAUCACAAGCAAAUUAAGCCAACGCAAGAUACUUGUGGGAAAGAAUGGUUCCAAAAUUGGGAGAAUAGGAAUGGAAGCUAAUGAAGAGCUAAGGUCCAUUUUCAAAAAGCAGGUGCAUCUAAUUCUGCAGGUUAGGCUUAGACAAUGACAAAAUGACAGAGUGGAUUUGAUUUUUAGAGUGCAGCUUCCCCGCCACGCCAUGAAGUAUACAAAAGUGCCAACGUGGGUCCGAAUCAGCCCUAACGCCCAUGCUUGAUACAAGCGAUCAUAGAGAACAUCACCAUGUGUGUGAGGGAAGAAUUCAUUUAGUGUUAUGGGAUCUCUUAUUACAAUGAAAUUUUGACUUGCACGUUUUCUUCCUGGGGCUUGAAUUACUAGCAUAAAGAUGAUUUGUUUCAUUGUCAUCACAUUGGACCUAUCAUGGUUUUCUGGGAAGGCUAUGUGAGUGACGAAGUGAUGGGCACGUUUGCCCCUAUCAAGCAUUUGAUUCGCCAUUUUUACUUUCGAACAAGAUUCUCCUUGUAAACAACAUCUUUGAGAGGCCUCCUUCGUUUUUGGGUAUGGUUUUUUCCCUCACUAUCUUGUUUGUUUGUGUAAUGUUAGCUCAUCUUCUUUGCUCGAGUAAAUUGUAUCAUUUCAUAAUCUUCGACGGCUUGUCCUGUUUUAUUACUCUUACUUGGGGAAAAAAAUUUCUUUAGAUCCAUGUUGAAUUUUCUAGAUCUUGUAUUCCUAUUUGCUUUUUAGUCAAUGUUCUGGGACUAUUUCUCUUUCAAUACCCUCAAUCAAGCACCCCAUUAUUCGUCUAUAAAAUGACUUCUUGGCAUAUAGAAGAUUAUGCCACUAAUAUGGCAAAUCUUUUCGUUCCCAUCGAUUACUCACCCAACCAAGCGUCUAAAAUUUGCUUUCCGAUUAGAAAAUGCAGCAAAGUUCUUUGGGAAAUAAAUUUCAAUAUUUAUAGCCUUUCUGGGUUCAUAUAAAUCAAGCAACUAGUCUUUCUAUGCUCAACUAGUUCUUUUUAAGAAGAUUAAUUAAUAAUUACUUAGGUUUAAUUUAUUAGUUUUGAAAAUGUAUUGCAAUGAAGGGUGUUUUACUCUAACAGCUUGUUCAAGCAACCGUGGCACUAUUAUUGGUUAGUCAUUUGAUAAUUGAGCUCGGGGGGAGGACACACAUGGGGCAGGUAACACAGCUGGUGGUAAUUUGGAGGAUCAGCGUGAGGACAAUAUUGAUGCUCAGAUUUUACAAGUCACCUAUAUUGUUCAAACGGAGAAUUUGGAGGAUCAUAUCUUGCCUGUUGUUGUCAAUGAUAGUGCUGGUGAUUUGGAUGCAAAGGAAAACAUUACUAGCUUAUGAAUAGGUGUUUGUUAUAAGUUUGUGUAAUGGAUAGGUAUUAUUAGCUUAUGUUCUUGUGUUUGCCUUUUUGGGAACAUUUGUAGUUAACUUCUCAAUAUCAUUGUUAUCAUUUUCAGGAUAUA